GACAGCGAGCAGUCAGCGGCUGAAGGGCAGUCUCGUGCCAGCCAUUGAAAAUGCUCAAGGCACACAUCCCUGCUGACCUUCCCCAAGACCAUGGAGAGGCAGCUGAGUCCUUAGUUUGAGGAAGACAGGAUAACAGCCUGUUCCCGCUGCUAGAGGCCAGUGAGAUGGAGAGGCUUGCAGAGGUCACUGAUCAAUGGAUCACAGACUCUCAAGCUCAGCAGUGGUGGCCCAGGACUUUAAUUCUAGGACUCAGAAGGCAGAGGCGGGCAGAGUUCGAGGCCAACCUGGUGGUCUACAGAGCAACGGGACAGCUGGGAGUAUGCAGUGAAACCCUACCUCGAAAAGACAAACAAACAAACGAAAUAUCAUAGAUUCUCCAUCUAUGACACCGCUUGACACCAU
rnacentral:lncRNA from 1 species